AAUCUGACUGAUUGUUUACAGCGUUUUCAGCAGUUGUUGCUGUUGUUCCGCAACUUUUUGUGCGAAGAAAUUGAUUAAAUUAUUUGAUAUUCGCACAUAGAAAGUGAAAAUCAGUUAAAAUUUACUCUGCGGAAGCUCGACUGUAAGCAUAUAACAAACUCGAGCUCAUUGCCUCCAUAAUGGACCUGGACACCUCCGAGAGCAAUCGAAAACGAGGUAAAAAUUUUAACAUCCGCCAAGACCGUCAAGUUUGUCUUUCAUGGAUUCACGCCAAAAGGCAAGAAGAACUGGGCGACAAUGCGCCGGCCGAUGAAAUUCGCUCGGAUCCGUUCAACGUUUGGGACACCCUCUACGAGCAUGCCGUUCAUAAUGAUCCCAAUUUCGAAAAGCGCUCCGUCGAUGGACUGCGGCACCGGUUCACGUUGCUUCAGCGUCAGGUUCGGAGGUUUGCCGAGUGCUAUACGGUCGCGAUGAGGGAGGAAGGCGACCCCGAUAAGACAUUCGCCAAUGCAAUGCAGCAUUACUCGGAAGUCUACAAGGGGCAAUUCCGAUUUCUGUGCUGCUACCGAAUAUUGAGGAAACAUCCAAAAUUCCAUGACAUGCCAGAAAUCAAUCCGAGUAUUGCUUUAGAAAAGAUGACGGCAAACCGAGAUGAUGAAGAAUGUGAACCAGUUUCUACCGGAAAUAGUAACGAUGCAUCCGAGUGCAACCGAAAACAAGGAACGAGAGGGAGAAACUUUACCGCUGAGCAUGACGUGCAAAUAUGCCUUUCCUGGCUUUAUGCGAAAAAAGAUGAAGAACUUGGCCGCAAUACCUUUCAAUUGGAGCCCUUCAAUGUUUGGACAGCCCUUCGUCACCACGCCGCUACUAAAAAUCCGGAUUUCAAUCAUCGCAGCGAUCUGAGUUUGCGAAGCAGAUUUUUCAAAAUCCAGCAUUUGGUUAAAAACUUUUUCGAACUGUACAAUGAGGUUGUGCAAGAUGAAAAUGACACGGAAAUGGUUUUGGCACUGGCAAUGCAGCGCUACAUGGACAAAUACAAGGAAGAUUUCAAGUUUUUGGACUGCUUUCACCUUUUUCAAAAGCAUCCAAUAAUGCAGAAACAGCUGGAUGCAGUGUAUGCUACAACAUCUAAAUUACAGGACAAUCUUGACAGUGACGACCAGGGAACAUCCAUUGUACCAGACGUCGUUCCUCCCCUGGGAUUGUUUACUUCCGAGGAUCUCACUCAGGCCAUGACGACAUCUUUCAAUGAAGACAAACACCAGCCCGUGGCCCAGGAAAAAUCGGAUGGUGAACGAGCACCUUUGAGAGGUAAAAAUUUCACCGCUAGUCAGGAUAGGCAACUUUGUCUAUCAUGGAUCGAUGCAAAGGAGGCAAAAUCAUUAUUCGAUUCUGCCAGUUCAAAACCGUGCGGCUUUUGGCAAACUGUUUAUAAUAAUGCGGUUUCCAAAGAUUCGAGCUUUGUAGUACGAGCACCUAAAGGCUUAAAGUGUAGGAUGCAUGUGAUUCUAAAAUAUACACGACAGUUUGCGGAUUGCUACAACAUGUUCGUACCGCUGAAACAGCAGACAGACACAGAAAAAAGUGUUUUACAAAGGGCGAUGCAGUCUUACAAAGUCAAAUAUAACCAACCUUUCAAAUUUGUCCAUUGCUGGUUAAUUCUGAAACAACAUUCAAUUUUUUGUGCGAUGGCGGAAGAUGUUUCAGCAUCACAAUCGGAUGUAUCGAAACCGGAUCAAGAAGACGAAGCAUUGUCUAAUAAUUGUAAGACAACUCUCAGAAUAAUUAUUAGACGAGAUGAAAUACAGGCUUUGCUAAAGGCAUGCUAUGAUAUUGGUGUUGAAGAGGUCCGAUCUCGAGGGAAGCCAAUAGAACCGCUGUUCUACGAUGUACAACAACAGAUGGCAGCGUAUGGCAAGUUUACCAAAAGAAGGCUACCCAUGCUUAAACAUAUGUACGAUAAAACAAAACGGGAGUAUAAGGAUGACCAGCUGGAGCCGUAUCCACCAGAGGCAAGAAUUCUGUGGGGAAGUCGAGGAACCAGCAAAGAGGAGCAAGCGAACGAUCUCCAUUGGGAACGAUUGAUCCAGUCCAGCUUAGAUAAUAAAACGGGUUCGUCGUUCUUAUCCAGUUCGGAAAUCAAAGAACUACUUAAGCAAGCAAUCAAAAACAAAGUGGAAUCCGAUCCCAACAGCGAGAGAAUUUUCUACCGAAUGCUGAAAAAUAUGCAAUCGCAGAAACUAUGCCGUCGAAAGGAUAUAGACCAGCUGAUGGAAGACUAUCACAGAUUGAAGCGACUAUUCCUUAGUGGCUCAUCCAAAAGUUUACCGCCGGAGGCAACUCAGCUUUGGAAUUCCGGUCCAAGUGAUGAUUGCGAUGAACAGAAAAUAGAACCGAUCGAGCAUAUUGACUUUGCUGAAUGCAACAUGAAAGUGGAAACGGAUUUCUGCCGCAUUUGUCAGACACAGCUGCUCGAUCAAUCUAAGGACCUAUUCUUCGAUGCACAUAAUGCACAAACAUAUGCCGACAUCAUCCAAGAAACGUUGAACGUUAAGAUGAUCAAUGAUGGAUUGCAGUCCAAUUUCCUUUGUGACAGCUGUGCAGGUUUCAUAGCGAGCCUUGUAACUUUUGUACAACAAUGCCGUAACAGCUGCGGUGCACUCAAAGUAACCAAAGACAUCGCUGCCACAACCUCAGGAUUCACUAAACUCGAACUUGAGGCUUCCGACACUAACAUCGAAUUCUUAGAUGAGGAAGCUUCUAAUUGUACCGCCUUCGAUUUUCCCGGAUUUGACGACAAUUUCGACCCAGAGGAUGACAAUAUGGAAAUAGACAGCAAAGUUAAUCUGGAAGAAACCAAACUUGCUGAAGUUGCUCCUAGCGAUGAUCAUUGUGAGGACAAUUCAGAGUCCAAUUUGGACGUGCCCACUCCCAUGGAUCUCCAAGCUGAGGACAAUGCAGUAACAGAUCCUGCAGAAUCAACUGUUACAGUAACAUCAACCGCUCCACCGGGCGAUGGAACUUCCGGAGACAAUCCAAAAGUAGAAACUACGAGGAAAAAGCUCGUUUAUCGCAAAUUGAACCGGACGAGAAGGGAGAAAAACAAAGUAAACAAAAAGCAGUGCCACUUUUGCGGCGUACGGGUAAAUGACAUAGCGAGACACAUUGAAAGCCACGAGGAAACCAAUUAUCAGUGCACAUUUUGCGACCGAGUAUGUCCAAACCGGAAACAACUUCGAAUCCACAUGAACCGCCACACAAAGGAGCGCGAAUUUCCCUGUCGAUACUGUGGCAAAAUAUUCUACGUUUGGUCAUCGCGAAAGAAUCAUAUAAAAAAUAUGCACGAGGAGGAGAGAUUCCAAUGUGACAUGUGUGAUGCGGUAUAUAAAUUCAAAAGUUAUCUUCAGCAGCACAAAAAGUUUGUCCAUUUAGGAAUUCGGGACCUGAAGUGCACGAAAUGUGAUUUCAGUACGUCAAUCAAGACUCGGUUGCUAAACCACUUCCGCAGUAUUCACACCAGCGAACGUCCGUACAAAUGUACGGUGUGCGAUCAUCAGUCGAACAGUAACACCGGAUACUAUAUCCACUUUCAACGACACAAGAAGUCUGGCGAAGCUACUAGCUAUACGAUCAAAUGCGCUUACUGUGCUGAAAUUUUCGAUAAGGAUCGCUCGCUCGAAGUUCACAUUGUUAAGGUGCAUCCUGAUCGAGCCGUUUUAAUUUGAGAUUUUCAGGAGUAAGCUCUCAUGGACUGUUUUUUUUUGUCUAAUAUUUAUGUCUGCUGUUACACCAAGAUAUUGUUACUUUUCCGAACGCAACCUUUAAUCAAUCGACUGAAUAAAAAUACUAAAGUUUCAACGA